AAACCGGGGCUAAUACCGGAUAACAUUUUGAACCGCAUGGUUCGAAAUUGAAAGGCGGCUUCGGCUGUCACUUAUGGAUGGACCCGCGUCGCAUUAGCUAGUUGGUGAGGUAACGGCUCACCAAGGCAACGAUGCGUAGCCGACCUGAGAGGGUGAUCGGCCACACUGGGACUGAGACACGGCCCAGACUCCUACGGGAGGCAGCAGUAGGGAAUCUUCCGCAAUGGACGAAAGUCUGACGGAGCAACGCCGCGUGAGUGAUGAAGGCUUUCGGGUCGUAAAACUCUGUUGUUAGGGAAGAACAAGUGCUAGUUGAAUAAGCUGGCACCUUGACGGUACCUAACCAGAAAGCCACGGCUAACUACGUGCCAGCAGCCGCGGUAAUACGUAGGUGGCAAGCGUUAUCCGGAAUUAUUGGGCGUAAAGCGCGCGCAGGUGGUUUCUUAAGUCUGAUGUGAAAGCCCACGGCUCAACCGUGGAGGGUCAUUGGAAACUGGGAGACUUGAGUGCAGAAGAGGAAAGUGGAAUUCCAUGUGUAGCGGUGA
rnacentral:rRNA from 1 species